rnacentral:misc_RNA from 1 species
AACGCACAUUGCGCCCCGUGGUAUUCCGCGGGGCAUGCCUGUUCGAGCGUCAUUUCAACCCUCAAGCGCUGCUUGGUGUUGGGCCCUGCCCGUCGCGGCCGGCCCCAAAGUCAGUGGCGGCGCCGUCGGGCUCCAAGCGUAGUACAUCUCUCGCUCUGGAGUCCUGCGGCAGCUCGCCAGAACCCCGAAUCUUAUGGUUGACCUCGGAUCAGGUAGGGAUACCCGCUGAACUUAA